rnacentral:rRNA from 1 species
UACGGAGGAUGCAAGCGUUAUCCGGAUUCAUUGGGUUUAAAGGGUGCGCAGGUGGGCUUGUAAGUCGGUGGUGAAAUGCUGCCGCUUAACGGUAGAAUUGCCAUUGAUACUGUGAGUCUUGAGUAUGGUUGAGGUAGGCGGAAUGUGCAGUGUAGCGGUGAAAUGCAUAGAUAUUGCACAGAACUCCGAUUGCGAAGGCAGCUUACUAAGCCAUUACUGACGCUGAGGCACGAAAGCGUGGGGAGCGAACAGG